rnacentral:tRNA from 1 species
GAUUCCAUAGUGCCGUGGUUAUCACGUCUGCCUCACACGCAGAAGGUCCCAGUUUCGAAAACAGGUGGAAACA